ACACACACGUCAGAGAUCAUUAACACACACACACACGUCAGAGAUCAUUAACACACACACGUCAGAGAUCAUUAACACACACACGUCAGAGAUCAUUAACACACACACGUCAGAGAUCAUUAACACACACACGUCACACGUCAGAGAUCAUUAACACACACACGUCACACAUCAUUAACACACACACGUCACACGUCAGAGAUCAUUAACACACACACGUCAGAGAUUAUUAACACACACACGUCAGAGAUCAUUAACACACACACGUCAGAGAUUAUUAACACACACACGUCAGAGAUUAUUAACACACACACGUCAGAGAUCAUUAACACACACGUCAGAGAUCAUUAACACACACGUCAGAGA